CUCAUGUUCCUUCCAAUAAUUUGCUAGGAGGUGGACCUGUCAAUAGGAAGGACAAAAAUUAUUAUUUACCACCAAUGCCCUCAAAAUAAUUAUUACUUAGAAAAUCCAAAACAACCAGUUGGAAGUUUCAGAACUCAAUCAACCCUGCCCCCCAUCCGACCCCCUCUCAGUUUUGAUUUGCCCAAGGACUCCUCAUAGUUGGUCCAGCCCAAACCAGUAAGAAACAUUAAAAAAAUAAUAAUAAUUAAAACUGCUGUGUCAUGUUGAUCUGGGUUGCUGGGAUACAGUGGUUGGUAGUUGGGGAGGCCCAGCAAGACCAGUAUUUUAAACCAGUAGCCAGGAGCUCGGAUGAUGAGGUCACAGGAUGUGUCAGCUUCCAAGCUUUGUGCUCAUCUAAGGCAGUUAUCCUGAAAAACCUUGGAUUUAUUCAGUAGUAACCCUCUGUCGCUACUCCCUGAUCUAAUUAACCUGUCUACGACACAGUUUCUUCAUCUGUAAAGGGGGCUAAUAAAAACGCUUACUUGGUGUGUUAAUUGUGAGGCUUCAUCUAUGACAACGCAAUUCAAAGUGCUUUACACAUUGCAAAGCACUACUUACAUAUUAGUUACUCGUUUUCCUAAGUGCGGCCACUUUUACGGAGGAGGAAAGUGCGGCCCACCAAGAUCAAACGUCUUCCCGAGGUCUCACGGCCAUGAGGGCAGAGCUUGCUCCGUUACCUGCACCCAUCAAACCCUCCCCAAUUUUCAAAGCCUGGUUCAAGCACAAGUCUUCCUCAGCCUGUCGCAGGGGGCCAAGAGCCCCAUGUCCCAGGUUCGUAUCCCAGCGCUGCCUCUUCCACAAUCCUAGGACACAUGCCUGUGCCCUGUGUGCCUGGGCUGCCACCGCGGGACAGAAGGGGUGGUGACGGCGCCUGGCCAGCCUGGGUGCUUAAUAAUGGCAGUUACCCUUUGUCGGCACAGUGACCACUCCUUUCCUGUGUUCUCCCUGCGCCGCGGUUGCAAUAUAGCCGGGACACUUUGAGGGUCGGCGGGGCCAGGCACUGUAUAGUUGCUCCGGCCCAGCGCAGCCCCUUGCCUCAGAGUAACUAAGACAAAGCUGGGGGGCAGGUCUCGCCAUGCCCCUCCCCGACUGGGCGCAACCCCGGCGGGGCGUCCCAGCUCCACAGUUCUCCAGUCUCGCUGCCCGCUCUGCGCCCAGCGCCUCCCUCCCUGCACGGCGGUCGCUGACCCACCCAGGCUGGACCUCGCCGUCUAGCAGUGCCGGCGAGCCCGCGCCGCGUUCCCGCCACUCGGGCCGGGCUCGCACCGGCAGGGGCCGCAGCCUUCCAGCCCGGGCAGGGGGGGCGCGGGGCCGGGGGCGGGGCGGGGCGGGGCGGGGGGGGGGGGCCGGCAGUUGGCGCUCGGAACCGGCGCGCGCCGCCCGGCCACCUGACCUCUGGGCCCUGCCCCCCGCCCCGGGCCCGGAGUGGGCGGGGAUGGGAUGGGAUGGGGCGGGGGCGGGGCAGGUGGUGCGACCGCCUCUCUCCUCAGCCUGCACCCCCGCCCCCUACCACGGGAGCGCCAGGGUCAGGAGCUACCCAUUGUGAUCUCAUUUUGCAGAUGAGGCGCACUGAGGCCUGCCCAGAGUCACAGGGGCAGGCCGGGUGUCAAAGCGGUUAGCACCGCGCCAGCUCGUUGUCGGCGCCCGGAAGCGUUGGUCUCCUUUCCUUUGGAUCCUGUUGGAACGGAAGCUCUACGAGGGCAGGAACUCUGCCUGUGUCGUCGUCCCCUCCUCCCCCUUACCCGCCCCCCCGGCCCCCCUCGUUCACUGUUGUAUCCACAGUGCCCAGAGCACUGGCAGUGGGCACGCAGUAAAUUACUUGAAUGAGUAACUCUUACUCCGGCCCUUCUGUAACUCUCUCACCUCAACUCGAGUCACCCUGGCCGCUCCCCAAAGGUCUUAGAGAAUAACUGGGGGAAGGCCAGACAGAAGGGAGUGAUAUGAUACAGAAGAGAGCACCCAGCCUGCAAAUCACCGAUGCAGGGGAGUUACUCGAUCCGCUUUAAGUGCUGGGAGGCGGUAAACUCCAUGAGGACAGAGCUGUUCACCUGUUUCCUCCGAAUCCAGCACGGUGCCUGGCACAGUAGCCAUUAAAUAAAUAUUUGAUGAAUAAAAUGCUUUGCCAUGAGCAGAUUCUCUGCCUGUGAGAUUCAUGGUUCCACUUUUAUAAAAAUUAAUAAAAGAUCAAGCAACUCAUGAAGGUUAUUCUUCCCAGCUCAUUUACUCUUCUGGGUGCUGCCACUCUAGUGUCUAAUAGGAUCGUAAUAACUACCACUUACUGUGCCCAGUGCG
rnacentral:lncRNA from 1 species